rnacentral:rRNA from 1 species
CACGUAGGCACCAAGCGUUAUCCGGAUUUAUUGGGCGUAAAGAGCUCGUAGGCGGUUCGGUAAGUCGGGUGUGAAACUCUGGGCUCAACCCAGAGAGGCCACCCGAUACUGCUGUGGACUAGAGUGCGGUAGGGGGAGCGGGGGAAUUCCUGGGUGGAGCGGUGAAAUGCGCAGAUAUCAGGAGGAACACCCGUAGCGAAGGCGGCACUCUGGGCCGAUACUGACACUGAGGAGCGAAAGCGUGGGGAGCGAACAGG